AAACAGGAAACACUCCGACUGUCAAGGAACAUGCAUUCUACUGGGGGAAGCCAAAUGUACAUGUUUGGCAUUAUUCUCAUUUUGUUUUCUGAUGAUAGUACCAUGAAGAUUUAGGACCCAGGUUAACCCUAUAGCUGCUGAAUAGGCAUUUUUUACCUACAGGAUCGGGUGACAAAUUUCAUCAGAUAUCCAUAAAGGAAUAUUUGCUGAAAAGAUAUAACCAGAGCCAAAAUGUCGACCUACAGGCUAGACGGGGAGCACCCUCUCUUCUAAACUGCCACAGUCCCUGGGAAAAGAGCAUUCCUACUUCAAGUGGCUGCAUGGAUCUUCUCACCACCAAGCUUACUUCUGGAUUUCGUAGAGCCCCAAGAUCCAGGACUCCUCUCCCAGGCCAUUUAUCCUGUCCUGAAAUGAGAAGUGAUGCACUAAGAAGAGUGAGAGGCUGGAUUUCAGAUGAGAUGACCUGGGGACAAAGUAUAGUUCUACUCCUGACUCCCUGCGUGACUUCAAGAUCCCAGGAUUCAGCAUCAAAGACCUUAGGCACUAAUAUCCUACCUGGAAGAUGGGACUCUUCAGUGCAUUACUGAACUCCUGCUAAGAACACUCACUUAGGAACUGAUGAAACCUUUGGAUAAAUGAAUUGCUUCCUGUUAAUGGUUCUGAUUUUAUAAA